AGCGAACGCUGGCGGCAGGCUUAACACAUGCAAGUCGAGCGGGUGUAGCAAUACAUCAGCGGCAGACGGGUGAGUAACGCGUGGGAACGUACCUUUUGGUUCGGAACAACCCAGGGAAACUUGGGCUAAUACCGGAUAAGCCCUUACGGGGAAAGAUUUAUCGCCGAAAGAUCGGCCCGCGUCUGAUUAGCUAGUUGGUGAGGUAAUGGCUCACCAAGGCGACGAUCAGUAGCUGGUCUGAGAGGAUGAUCAGCCACAUUGGGACUGAGACACGGCCCAAACUCCUACGGGAGGCAGCAGUGGGGAAUAUUGGACAAUGGGGGCAACCCUGAUCCAGCCAUGCCGCGUGAGUGAUGAAGGCCCUAGGGUUGUAAAGCUCUUUUGUGCGGGAAGAUAAUGACGGUACCGCAAGAAUAAGCCCCGGCUAACUUCGUGCCAGCAGCCGCCGUAAAAC
rnacentral:rRNA from 1 species